GACGAACGCUGGCGGCACGCUUAACACAUGCAAGUCGAACGAGAGAAGAGAAGCUUGCUUUUCUGAUCUAGUGGCGGACGGGUGAGUAACACGUGAGCAAUCUGCCUUUCAGAGGGGGAUACCGAUUGGAAACGAUCGUUAAUACCGCAUAAUAUAAUUGAACCGCAUGAUUUGAUUAUCAAAGAUUUAUCGCUGAAAGAUGAGCUCGCGUCUGAUUAGCUAGUUGGUAAGGUAACGGCUUACCAAGGCGACGAUCAGUAGCCGGACUGAGAGGUUGAUCGGCCACAUUGGGACUGAGACACGGCCCAGACUCCUACGGGAGGCAGCAGUGGGGAAUAUUGCACAAUGGAGGAAACUCUGAUGCAGCGAUGCCGCGUGAGGGAAGAAGGUUUUAGGAUUGUAAACCUCUGUCUUCAGGGACGAAAAAAGACGGUACCUGAGGAGGAAGCUCCGGCUAACUACGUGCCAGCAGCCGUGGUAAUACGUAGGGAGCGAGCGUUGUCCGGAAUUACUGGGUGUAAAGGGAGCGUAGGCGGGAUCGCAAGUCAGAUGUGAAAACUAUGGGCUUAACCCAUAAACUGCAUUUGAAACUGUGGUUCUUGAGUGAAGUAGAGGUAAGCGGAAUUCCUAGUGUAGCGGUGAAAUGCGUAGAUAUUAGGAGGAACAUCAGUGGCGAAGGCGGCUUACUGGGCUUUAACUGACGCUGAGGCUCGAAAGCGUGGGGAGCAAACAGGAUUAGAUACCCUGGUAGUCCACGCCGUAAACGAUGAUUACUAGGUGUGGGGGGACUGACCCCUUCCGUGCCGCAGCAAACGCAAUAAGUAAUCCACCUGGGGAGUACGACCGCAAGGUUGAAACUCAAAGGAAUUGACGGGGGCCCGCACAAGCAGUGGAGUAUGUGGAUUAAUUCGAAGCAACGCGAAGAACCUUACCAGGUCUUGACAUCGUAUGCAUAGCUCAGAGAUGAGUGAAAUCUCUUCGGAGACAUAUAGACAGGUGGUGCAUGGUUGUCGUCAGCUCGUGUCGUGAGAUGUUGGGUUAAGUCCCGCAACGAGCGCAACCCUUACUGUUAGUUGCUACGCAAGAGCACUCUAGCAGGACUGCCGUUGACAAAACGGAGGAAGGUGGGGAUGACGUCAAAUCAUCAUGCCCCUUAUGACCUGGGCCUCACACGUACUACAAUGGCUGUCAACAGAGGGAAGCAAAGCCGCGAGGUGGAGCGAACCCCUAAAAGCAGUCUUAGUUCGGAUUGUAGGCUGCAACCCCCCUACAUGAAGUCGGAAUUGCUAGUAAUCGCAGAUCAGCAUGCUGCGGUGAAUACGUUCCCGGGCCUUGUACACACCGCCCGUCACGCCAUGGGAGUCGGUAACACCCGAAGCCUGUAGUCUAACCGCAAGGAGGACGCAGUCGAAGGUGGGAUUGAUGACUGGGGUG
rnacentral:rRNA from 1 species